GUAGGGUGCAAGCGUUAAUCGGAAUUACUGGGCGUAAAGCGUGCGCAGGCGGUUAUAUAAGACAGAUGUGAAAUCCCCGGGCUCAACCUGGGAACUGCAUUUGUGACUGUAUAGCUAGAGUACGGCAGAGGGGGAUGGAAUUCCGCGUGUAGCAGUGAAAUGCGUAGAUAUGCGGAGGAACACCGAUGGCGAAGGCAAUCCCCUGGGCCUGUACUGACGCUCAUGCACGAAAGCGUGGGGAGCAAACAGGAUUAGAUACCCUGGUAGUCCACGCCCUAAGCGAUGUCAACUGGUUGUUGGGAAUUCAUUUUCUCAGUAACGAAGCUAACGCGUGAAGUUGACCGCCUGGGGAGU
rnacentral:rRNA from 1 species